rnacentral:rRNA from 1 species
UUACGGCCAUAUCAUGUUGAGACACCGAUACUAGUACGAUCACAGAAGUUAAGCAACGUCGAGCCAGGUCAGUACCUAUAUGGGUGACUGCUUGGGAAUACCAAGCGAUGUAAG